CUGGGUAACCGAGCGCUUCGGCGCUCACCCCCCACCCUCUGUUUCCCGCCCCUGUUCGGCGUCAGGCGGGUCCCCCUGCGGGGCCCUCCGGCCGGAACCCAAACCCUGAACAACAUUGAAGCCUGAAGUAACAAGCAAAUAGUUA
rnacentral:misc_RNA from 2 species